GGUUGACCUCGGAUCAGGUAGGGAUACCCGCUGAACUUAAGCAUAUCAAUAAGCGGAGGAAAAGAAACCAACAGGGAUUGCUCUAGUAACGGCGAGUGAAGCAGCAAUAGCUCAAAUUUGAAAUCUGGCGUCUUCGGCGUCCGAGUUGUAAUUUGUAGAGGAUGCUUCUGGGCAGCCACCGACCUAAGUUCCUUGGAACAGGACGUCAUAGAGGGUGAGAAUCCCGUAUGCGGUCGGAAAGGCACCCUACACGUAGCUCCUUCGACGAGUCGAGUUGUUUGGGAAUGCAGCUCUAAAUGGGAGGUAAAUUUCUUCUAAAGCUAAAUAUAGGCCAGAGACCGAUAGCGCACAAGUAGAGUGAUCGAAAGAUGAAAAGCACUUUGGAAAGAGAGUUAAAAAGCACGUGAAAUUGUUGAAAGGGAAGGGAUUGCAACCAGACUUGCUCGCGGUGUUCCGCCGGUCUUCUGACCGGUCUACUCGCCGCGUUGCAGGCCAGCAUCGUCUGGUGCCGCUGGAUAAGACUUGAGGAAUGUAGCUCCCUCGGGAGUGUUAUAGCCUCUUGUGAUGCAGCGAGCGCCGGGCGAGGUCCGCGCUUCGGCUAGGAUGCUGGCGUAAUGGUUGUAAUCCGCCCGUCUUGAAACACGGACCAAGGAGUCUAA
rnacentral:rRNA from 1 species